CUGUUUUCUGUCUGACAUGAGAGAAGUUCACCUGUGUUUAUGCUUUGCUACAUCACAAAACCUGCAUUGCUUUUGAUUGUCCUGUGUCAUACUUGUACUGUAGUACGCACCGGAUGACUACAAUGGCUACAUUCAGAUGAACGAUCAAGCACGGAGUGUAUUACAAGCACCAAAAGAGUGGGUUUGUUUGUAACUCCCCCACCUUUCCCACUUCCCACAGAAAGCUCCAGCCAGACUCUGUCCUUCUGCUUUAUAACUUCAGUGGCCAGCCCAGUGGGGAAGCUCUGGUGACUUUUCCGAGCCUUGAUAUGGCAAAACAGGCUGUGGCAGAGAAGAGCAAACGGCUUUUUGGAGGUCGUUGCAUAGAGCUCUGUGUGGUGUAAAAUUGAUGUUGCAAAAUUAAUUUUGUUUUAUAAAUGUCUGAACAAGAGCACUCUACCUUUUUAAGUGAAAAAAGGUGCCUUUUCUUUUUCUCCUUAUGUGCCUUGUACUGAACUGGAAUGCCAAUGAACUGGAAAGGACACUCCCUCGUAUUAAAGGGCUGUGCACUAUAUACCGUUAAAGCCAUAUACAUAUUUGCUUCUGUUUUUUUUUUGUUGUUUUUUUUUUUUAAACUGCCUUUGUGCAUAUCUCCUGUUUUCAUCCAUUAUAAAUGUGGCACAUAAACGUAAGUUAUGUUUUCUAUUUAAGCCAAUUCGCUUUUGAAGCAUUAGGAUUUUGCCAUAGCUGUGCAUAUAACAUGUUUACAGAAAUAAGAGUUUAUUUGUAUAUUAUGAAGCUGCAAUAACGUGUACACUGUGCUUUAGUGCAUGAAUUCUUUCUAUCCUUUUUUUGUAUUUCAUAUAAGCUAUGCAGUUUUGUGUUCAUUUUGUGUACUAAAUCUUCAAACAGUAUCUGCUGUUAGAGCACUAAUGCGUUCAUUAACCACUAAUUAACUGUGCCUUGAUUUUUACAAAGUGCAAUACCAGCAGAGCAAAAUAUGAAAAUCCUCAAGAGAGGUUACAGAGGUCUAUGUCUAUGUGAAUGUUUUUUGGUUAGUCUACAAGUUUAAAACACGAGUUCUAAAGACUUUAAAGAUGUACAUUUCUUAUAUUAAACAAAUAAAUGGAAGAAACAUCUAGAA